rnacentral:rRNA from 1 species
AAUACGGUCGCAAGACUAAAACUCAAAGGAAUUGACGGGGACCCGCACAAGCGGUGGAGCAUGUGGUUUAAUUCGAUGCUACGCGAAAAACCUUACCACUUUUUGACAUGAAGGUCGUAUCCCUCCUAACAGGGGGAGUCAGUUCGGCUGGACCUUACACAGGUGCUGCAUGGUUGUCGUCAGCUCGUGUCGUGAGAUGUUGGGUUAAGUCCCGCAACGAGCGCAACCCUCAUUCUUAGUAC